CCCCACCAGUGUGUGUGUGUGUGUCUGUGUGUGUGUGUCUGUUUAUGUCUGUCUCUGUGUGUGUCUGUGUGUGUCUCGGUGUGUGUCUGUGUGUAUGUCUGUCUGUGUCUGUGUGUGUCUCUGUGUGUGUCUGUGUAUGUGUCUGUCUGUGUGUGUCUGUGUGUAUGUCUGUCUGUGUCUGUGUGUGUCUCUGUGUGUGUCUGUGUAUGUGUCUGUCUGCGUGGGUCUCUGUGUGUGUCUGUGUAUGUCUGGUGUGUGUCUGUUUAUGUCUGUGUGUGUGUGUGUCUGUGUGUCUCUCUGUGUGUGUCUGUGUCUGUGUGUGUCUGUGUGUCUGUGUGUGUCUCUCUGUGUGUCUGUGUGUAUGUUUGUCUCUGUGUGUCUGUGGUCUGUGUCUGUGUGUGUCUGUGUGUCUGUGUGUGGUGUGUCUGUGUGUCUCUCUGUGUGUGUCUGUGUCUGUGUGUGUCUGUGUGUCUGUGUGUGUCUCUCUGUGUGUCUGUCUGUGUGUGUCUGUGUGUGUGUCUCAGUGCGUCUCUGUGUGUGUCUGUGUGCAUCUCUGUGUGUGUCUGUGUAUGUGUCUGUCUGUGUGUGUCUCUCUGUGUGUCUGUCUGUGUGUGUCUGUGUGUGUGUCUCUGUGUGUGUCUCUGUGUGUGUCUGUGUAUGUCUGGUGUGUGUCUAUUUAUGUCUAUCUGUGUGUGUGUCUGUGUGUGUCUGUGUGUAUGUCUGUGUGUGUCUGUUUAUGUCUGUCUGUGUGUGUGUCUGUGUGUAUGUCUGUGUGUGUGUAUGUCUGUAUGUAUGUCUGUGUGUGUGUAUAUGUCUGUGUGUGUAUGUCUGUGUGUGUGUGUGUGUGUGUGUAUGUCUGUGUGCGUCUCUGUGUGUGUCUGUGUAUGUGUCUGUGUGUGUCUGUUUAUGUCUGUCUGUGUGAGUGUCUGUGUGUGUGUGUGAAUUCUCCCAGGGCCACUCCAGACCAUCAAAAAGACACUCAUACCUCGCGAAAGGUCAACUUCUAAAUUGGUCAGAGCAAGUCUAGCCAGACUGAAUGCCCCGGGGAAGAGCC
rnacentral:lncRNA from 1 species